GGUCUUACCAGUGAUUUAUAAAGAGGCAAAAUUAUAUUCUUGUCCCGAGAAUGAAUGCCCUUUUUCAUGCAUGACAAUACCUUACUGGCCUUGGCCACUGCUGAUUGACAUUGCACAUUGUUGCAUAGUUUGUUGUCUAUGACAAUUCCCAAGUCCUUUUCAUGUGUUGUUAUCCCUAAUUCGCUUCCAUUAAGGGUAUACGUUGCUUGUGUAUUCUUUACGCCGAAGUGCAUAACUUUGCAUUUUUCAACAUUAAAUUUCAUCUGCCAUUUGAG
rnacentral:lncRNA from 1 species